rnacentral:rRNA from 1 species
AGCAGCCGCGGUAAUUCCAGCUCCAAUAGCGUAUAUUAAAGUUGUUGCAGUUAAAAAGCUCGUAGUUGAAUUUCGGGAUCAAUACGUCGGUCGUGCUUCGGUACGUACUGGCGUCAUUGGUUUCUCCCUUCUGACGAACCAUGAUGUCAUUAACUUGGUGUCAUGGGAAAUCAGGACUGUUACUUUGAAAAAAUUAGAGUGUUUAAAGCAGGCUCACGCUUGAAUACAUUAGCAUGGAGUAAUGAAAUAGGACGUUCGAUCCUAUUUUGUUGGUUUCUAGGAUUGACGUAAUGAUUAAUAGGGAUAGUUGGGGGCAUUAGUAUUCAAUUGUCAGAGGUGAAAUUCUUGGAUUUAUUGAAGACUAACUACUGCGAAAGCAUUUGCCAAGGAUGUUUUCAUUAAUCAAGAACGAAAGUUAGGGGAUCGAAGACGAUCAGAUACCGUCGUAGU